CUUCAUGUCUGUCGGCACCUUUGUGGGGACAUGGAAGCUCAUCCAGAGGAGGGCGGGGAGAGAAGCCGGUCUCCUUGAGAGACGAACAGAUGUCCUCUUUGAAGAAGCUGACGGAGGACACAGCGUCUCGAGUGGGCCGUCAUGCCCCCCUCCACUGCGUCCCAAGCUGGCCGCAGGGCCCCCUCCGCUGCAUCCUGGGUCCAGCCGAUCGGGUCCAGUCCCUGCUGCCACCCUCCUCCACAGGUCAUCCUUCUCUCAUCCCUGGGAGCCACACUGCUGCCUCAAUGGCCUCCCUGCUGUUUCCCUGCCUGGACCCCCUCCCCGUUCUCCUGAGCUCAGCCCAACGUCACCUCCUCCAGGAAGCCUUCCUUCAUCUCAGACUAAGUUAUCUGGUUGCUGUCCAUGCCUGUUCUUGCUCAUUAAUGUGGCCUCAGCAGACAGCCGUGCUGAGCACAAGGGGACCCUUAAUCACUGAUGACCUCUGAUGAUCAGGGUUAAGGCCAUUACAGCCAGUACCAGCCUCACUUCAUCUUGGUAAAUUCCCUUUUACGAAUUUACCAUGUUAACCACUUUUAAUUUUGUACAAUCAUCUCAUCACUGUACGGUUCCAGACUUUUCAUCACCCCAGAAGGACGCUGCACCCCCCGCCCCUGCCCUCCGCACCGCCCGCCCCUGCCAACCACCCAUCCGUUUCCUGUCCCCCUUGUUUGCCUGCUGUGGGCAGUUCGUGCCAGUGGAAUCUCACACCGUGUGGCCUUUUGUGAGUGGCCGCUUUCGCCCCGCGUCACGUUCUCCAGGCCCAUGUGUGCCGUGCGAGUCAGAACCACGUUCCUCGUGUGGCUGAGUGGCGCACAUUGUCUAGAUGGGCCACGUUUGGUCCAUCCGUUCACGGGCUGGUGGGCACUUGGGUCGACUCCAGCCUCGGCUGCGCUCUGGUACCCAACAGACUGCUGCCGUGGACGUGCACGUACAGGAUCGAUUACAGCCCCGUUGUCAAUCAUGACUGUCUGCUGACUUCACAGAUCCCUAUGGUUUAGAGGCGGGAACAUGUUGAGGCGUCCAUCAGGCCCCGAAUGGGGUGAACUCCCACUGCUCCAGCAGGGAAGAGCCACUCCCACGGAGUCCCCUGUGGUGCUUUGCUGGGGUGGCUGGUGCCCGCAUGUGCCACAGCGGCCCAAGUCUCCGGUGACCCCCGCCCUCCCCGCCACACUGUUAAAUAUUUUAGCAAAUAAAAAAAUUGUAAGCGCGCGGCCA
rnacentral:lncRNA from 1 species